UACGUAGGGUGCGAGCGUUAUCCGGAUUUAUUGGGCGUAAAGAGCUCGUAGGCGGUUUGUCGCGUCGGCCGUGAAAUCUCCACGCUUAACGUGGAGCGUGCGGUCGAUACGGGCAGACUUGAGUUCGGUAGGGGAGACUGGAAUUCCUGGUGUAGCGGUGAAAUGCGCAGAUAUCAGGAGGAACACCGGUGGCGAAGGCGGGUCUCUGGGCCGAUACUGACGCUGAGGAGCGAAAGCGUGGGGAGCGAACAGG
rnacentral:rRNA from 1 species